rnacentral:rRNA from 1 species
UACGGGGGGGGCAAGCGUUGUUCGGAAUUACUGGGCGUAAAGGGCUCGUAGGCGGCCAACUAAGUCAGACGUGAAAUCCCUCGGCUUAACCGGGGAACUGCGUCUGAUACUGGAUGGCUCGAGUUUGGGAGAGGGAUGCGGAAUUCCAGGUGUAGCGGUGAAAUGCGUAGAUAUCCAGGGGAACGCCGGUGGUGAAAACGGGUCGCUGGGCCUUUCCUGACGCUGAGGUGCGAAAGCCAGGGGAGCGAACGGG